rnacentral:rRNA from 1 species
GACGAACGCUGGCGGCGUGCUUAACACGUGCAAGUCGAACGGAAAGGCCCUGCUUUUGUGGGGUGCGCGAGUGGCGAACGGGUGAGUAACACGUGAGUAACCGGCCCUUGACUUUGGGAUAACUUCAGGAAACUGGGGCUAAUACCGGAUAGGAGCUCCUGCGGCAUGGUGGGGGUUGGAAAGUUUCGGCGGUUGGGGAUGGACUCGCGGCUUAUCAGCUUGUUGGUGGGGUAGUGGCUUACCAAGGCUUUGACGGGUAGCCGGCCUGAGAGGGUGACCGGCCACAUUGGGACUGAGAUACGGCCCAGACUCCUCCGGGAGGCAGCAGUGGGGAAUAUUGCACAAUGGGCGGAAGCCUGAUGCAGCAACGCCGCGUGCGGGAUGACGGCCUUCGGGUUGUAAACCGCUUUCGCCUGUGACGAAGCGUGAGUGACGGGAAUGGGUAAAGAAGCACCGGCUAACUACGU